GGGUGAAGGGACAUGGGCUAUAACAGUUUGCUCUUUUUGUUCGUUCAGUGUUGGAAUUCUGUUUUUGUUUUCACGAAAAGCUUGAGCUUUUGCCGAAGUAGGGAAAACAGGAACAAUGCACAAUGUGGUAAUGGAAAAGGUUCCAUCAAUGCUCCAUUAUCUGAGCUACCUGAAGGCUUCUGUCAAUAAGGCUUGGCCUUGAUGUAUUGAUAAGUGUUUUCGCAGACUUCCUAACCGCUUGUACAAUGAUGAAGCCCGAGAAAGAAGAGAGGUGGACUUCCUUGUUGUAACUAGCCGGGAUUUUCGAUGAAUUGAAGGUGCUCAAAAAA